CGUGUAGGCGGCCCACCAAGCCGGCUGUGAAAGCCCAUGGCUCAACCAUGGAAGUGCAGCCGGGACUGAUGGGCUAGAGUUCCGAAGAGGGUGGCGGAAUGCCCAGUGUAGAGGUGAAAUUCGUAGAUAUUGGGUAGAACACCGGUGGCGAAGGCGGCCACCUGGGAGGCGACUGACGCUGAGACGCGAAAGCGUGGGGAGCAAACA
rnacentral:rRNA from 1 species